GAUGAACGCUAGCGGGAGGCUUAACACAUGCGAGUCGAGGGGCAGCAUAGAGUAGCAAUACUUUGAUGGCGACCGGCGCACGGGUGAGUAACGCGUAUGUAGCCUACCCUGUACAGGGGGAUAGCCCGGAGAAAUUCGGAUUAAUACCCCAUAAUGAUAUCGAGAGGCAUCUUUUGAUAUUUAAAGCUUCGGCGGUACGGGAUGGGCAUGCGUGACAUUAGCUAGUUGGUAAGGUAACGGCUUACCAAGGCUGCGAUGUCUAGGGGUCCUGAGAGGGUGAUCCCCCACACUGGUACUGAGACACGGACCAGACUCCUACGGGAGGCAGCAGUGAGGAAUAUUGGUCAAUGGGCGUAAGCCUGAACCAGCCAUCCCGCGUGAAGGAAGAAGGCGCUAUGCGUCGUAAACUUCUUUUCCAGAGGAAUAAAAUUUUGUACGCGUACAGAACUGAAGGUACUCUGGGAAUAAGCAUCGGCUAACUCCGUGCCAGCAGCCGCCGUAAAAC
rnacentral:rRNA from 1 species